UGACUAGAAGCUAGCCAAUGCUGUCUAUAAAAAGGGCACAAGAGAAGACCCAGGAAACUACAGAUCUGUUAGUCUUACUUCAGUCUCCGUAAAAGUUAUAGAGAAUGUUGUCCUGGGAGAUGAGAAGCCUUGCAAAGAGACCUGAAUAGAUUAAAGCACUGAGCAAAUCAGUAUGAAGUUCAACAAAGGAAAAUGGUCUUCAAGUCUGGAUCAUGAAAGCUGAC
rnacentral:lncRNA from 1 species